rnacentral:rRNA from 1 species
GAUGAACGCUGGCGGCGUGCCUAAUACAUGCAAGUCGAACGCUUUGUGGUUCAACUGAUUUGAAGAGCUUGCUCAGAGAUGACGAUGGACAUUGCAAAGAGUGGCGAACGGGUGAGUAACACGUGGGAAACCUACCUCUUAGCAGGGGAUAACAUUUGGAAACAGAUGCUAAUACCGUAUAACAAUGACAACCGCAUGGUUGUUAUUUAAAAGAUGGUUCUGCUAUCACUAAGAGAUGGUCCCGCGGUGCAUUAGCUAGUUGGUAAGGUAAUGGCUUACCAAGGCGAUGAUGCAUAGCCGAGUUGAGAGACUGAUCGGCCACAAUGGGACUGAGACACGGCCCAUACUCCUACGGGAGGCAGCAGUAGGGAAUCUUCCACAAUGGGCGAAAGCCUGAUGGAGCAACGCCGCGUGUGUGAUGAAGGGUUUCGGCUCGUAAAACACUGUUGUAAGAGAAGAAUGACAUUGAGAGUAACUGUUCAAUGUGUGACGGUAUCUUACCAGAAAGGAACGGCUAAAUACGUGCCAGCAGCCGCGGUAAUACGUAUGUUCCAAGCGUUAUCCGGAUUUAUUGGGCGUAAAGCGAGCGCAGACGGUUAUUUAAGUCUGAAGUGAAAGCCCUCAGCUCAACUGAGGAAUUGCUUUGGAAACUGGAUGACUUGAGUGCAGUAGAGGAAAGUGGAACUCCAUGUGUAGCGGUGAAAUGCGUAGAUAUAUGGAAGAACACCAGUGGCGAAGGCGGCUUUCUGGACUGUAACUGACGUUGAGGCUCGAAAGUGUGGGUAGCAAACAGGAUUAGAUACCCUGGUAGUCCACACCGUAAACGAUGAGUGCUAGGUGUUUGAGGGUUUCCGCCCUUUAAGUGCCGCAGCUAACGCAUUAAGCACUCCGCCUGGGGAGUACGACCGCAAGGUUGAAACUCAAAGGAAUUGACGGGGACCCGCACAAGCGGUGGAGCAUGUGGUUUAAUUCGAAGCAACGCGAAGAACCUUACCAGGUCUUGACAUCCCUUGACAACUCCAGAGAUGGAGCGUUCCCUUCGGGGACAAGGUGACAGGUGGUGCAUGGUUGUCGUCAGCUCGUGUCGUGAGAUGUUGGGUUAAGUCCCGCAACGAGCGCAACCCUUAUUACUAGUUGCCAGCAUUCAGUUGGGCACUCUAGUGAGACUGCCGGUGACAAACCGGAGGAAGGUGGGGAUGACGUCAAAUCAUCAUGCCCCUUAUGACCUGGGCUACACACGUGCUACAAUGGCGUAUACAACGAGUUGCCAACCUGCGAGGGUGAGCUAAUCUCUUAAAGUACGUCUCAGUUCGGAUUGUAGGCUGCAACUCGCCUACAUGAAGUCGGAAUCGCUAGUAAUCGCGGAUCAGCACGCCGCGGUGAAUACGUUCCCGGGUCUUGUACACACCGCCCGUCACACCAUGAGAGUUUGUAACACCCAAAGCCGGUGGGGUAACCUUCGGGAGCCAGCCGUCUAAGGUGGGACAGAUGAUUAGGGUG